GGCUCUUCGCGUCCCGGAUUCCGGUGGCUGCGUCCGCGUCGCCUCUCCCAGACUAGAUCGAAGGGUUCCCCCCACCUCCCCUCUGUGGGCGGAAAGAGCGGAAUGUUCCAUUUUUCUGUGGAAUAACGGGGUCAUGAACUGGAGCCCGGGUGCUGCCCGCCGCCCGCUGCCCCCGCCCUCCCUUCUCGCCAGGGCGCCUGCGGCCUCUCUUCGCGGCCUUCCCCGAGGGACUCAGAGCCGCGAGGGACCGCCUAGCUCCCUUGGGGAUGGGGAAGGCGUGGGAGCCUCUUGGGGAAAGUGAAGAGCUCGGUGGCCGUGACUCCGCACGAGACUGCGGCAGAUUGUGGCGGCGGCUUCUCUCCAAGACUUACGUAAACGAGCCUUGCCACAGUACUUUUUUAAAUUAGUAAAUGAGUUUGGGUGCGAUUGA
rnacentral:lncRNA from 10 species